ACUGCGCUUUAUUUGAUUUGUUUACAUUAUUAGGCUGCUUCGCGGAGAACAUGCUAACUUAACUAGCCUCAAGGACACUGCAUAUGGGAGACUGCAUGUGAACGAAAAUUCAACAUUUCUGAAAGGAAGUCGCUCCACCUGAGGCUGAAAGCUUUUGCCAUCAUAGGACCUCAUCCCCAUCCACAUUCAUUGUAUGGAGAAGAGAAGCAUGAACAAUCUCCAACUUAAGAAAAUAGGCCCUGAAAGGACGCGAGGAGCUCUAAACUGAUCCACCGCUGCAUUGCUUUGAGCAAUCACGUCUUCUCAACUGAAGAUGAAAAGGCAUGUGGGACAAGACGAUGUGAGAAAACAACAGUCCUGAUCAAAAGAAGGCAAAACAGUGCAAGAGGUAAAUGGUGCAAGAACCGAAUGACUCCAGUGAGAGGCAGACGCCGAUAAGCAGGAUGCACUUCUCCACCCAAAUCGAAAAACCAGAGAGGAGAGCAUGAAACGGAGA